ensembl:snoRNA SNORA73 Small nucleolar RNA SNORA73 family
CCAACGUGGAUAUCCAGAGAAGUUGCUCUCUCUUGGCUCUGUCCAUGUGGCGUAUGGGAGCGUAGAGGCCUUCGGGCUCCAUGACGUAUAGUCCCUUUCCACGCCGUUGGAGAACAAGCCGGGCCUCUGGUCUGCAGCCUGCAUAUUCCUACUGCUUCUCUGAGUCUUCGGACUGUGACUGAGGAGAUAAACCAUGCAGGAAACAUUU